rnacentral:rRNA from 1 species
UGUAACUGGGAACAUGUCCACCAUGGGCAUGUCCGUGAAUGUAAAGUCCACUGGAAUGUGGCAGCGCUUCGGCGUUCUUUGGGUCAGAGAGGGUGAAAACCCCGUUUACAUUCAUUGUGGGGCGUGUCUGUUGUGUGGGCGUGUUGAAGAGUCGGAUUGUUUGGGAAUGCAAUCCAAAACGGGUGGUAAAUUCCAUCCAAGACUAAAUAUUAGCAAGAGACCGAUAGCGAACAAGUACCGUGAGGGAAAGAUGAAAAGCACUCUGAAGAGAGAGUGAAAUAGUACGUGAAAUUGCUGAAAGGGAAACCCUUGAAACAAUGGUGG